UACGGAGGAUUCAAGCGUUAUCCGGAUUUAUUGGGUUUAAAGGGUGCGUAGGCGGCCUGUUAAGUCAGGGGUGAAAGACGGUAGCUUAACUAUCGCAGUGCCCUUGAUACUGAUGGGCUUGAAUAUACUUGAGGUAGGCGGAAUGUGACAAGUAGCGGUGAAAUGCAUAGAUAUGUCACAGAACACCAAUUGCGAAGGCAGCUUACUAAGGUAUGAUUGACGCUGAGGCACGAAAGCGUGGGGAUCAAACAGG
rnacentral:rRNA from 1 species